rnacentral:rRNA from 1 species
CAGCCGCCGCGGGAAUACGUAGGGUGCAAGCGUUAAUCGGAAUUACUGGGCGUAAAGCGUGCGCAGGCGGUUAUAUAAGACAGAUGUGAAAUCCCCGGGCUCAACCUGGGAACUGCAUUUGUGACUGUAUAGCUAGAGUACGGCAGAGGGGGAUGGAAUUCCGCGUGUAGCAGUGAAAUGCGUAGAUAUGCGGAGGAACACCGAUGGCGAAGUCAAUCCCCUGGGCCUGUACUGACGCUCAUGCACGAAAGCGUGGGGAGCAAACAGGAUUAGAGACCCCCGUAGUCCCUGUCUCUUAUAC